AACGUAGGAGGCGAGCGUUAUCCGGAUUUACUGGGCGUAAAGCGAGCGUAGGCGGUUGUUCAAGUCGGAUGUGAAAGCCCUUGGCUCAACCAGGGGAGGCCAUUCGAUACUGGACGGCUUGAGGGUGAGAGAGGGGAGUGGAAUUCCCGGUGUAGCGGUGGAAUGCGUAGAGAUCGGGAGGAACACCAGUGGCGAAAGCGGCUCCCUGGCUCACCCCUGACGCUGAUUGCUCGACAGCGUGGGGAGCAAACGGG
rnacentral:rRNA from 1 species